GAGGAAUUCGUGGGUAACCUGCCCAUCAGAGGGGGAUAACAUUCGGAAACGGAUGCUAAAACCGCAUAGGUUCUUUAGUCGCAUGACUGAAGAAGGAAAAGAGGCUUCGGCUUCUGCUGAUGGAUGGACCCGCGGUGCAUUAGCUAGUUGGUGAGGUAACGGCUCACCAAGGCCGUGAUGCAUAGCCGACCUGAGAGGGUGAUCGGCCACAUUGGGACUGAGACACGGCCCAAACUCCUACGGGAGGCAGCAGUAGGGAAUCUUCCGCAAUGGACGCAAGUCUGACGGAGCAACGCCGCGUGAGUGAAGAAGGAUUUCGGUUCGUAAAACUCUGUUGUUAGAGAAGAACAGCGCAUAGAGUAACUGUUAUGCGUGUGACGGUAUCUAACCAGAAAGCCACGGCUAACUACGUGCCAGCAGCCGCGGUAAUACGUAGGUGGCAAGCGUUGUCCGGAUUUAUUGGGCGUAAAGCGAGCGCAGGCGGUCAAUUAAGUCUGAUGUGAAAGCCCCCGGCUCAACCGGGGAGGGUCAUUGGAAACUGGUUGACUUGAGUGCAGAAGAGGAGAGUGGAAUUCCAUGUGUAGCGGUGAAAUGCGUAGAUAUAUGGAGGAACACCAGUGGCGAAGGCGACUCUCUGGUCUGUAACUGACGCUGAGGCUCGAAAGCGUGGGUAGCAAACAGGAUUAGAUACCCUGGUAGUCCACGCCGUAAACGAUGAGUGCUAAGUGUUGGAGGGUUUCCGCCCUUCAGUGCUGCAGUUAACGCAUUAAGCACUCCGCCUGGGGAGUACGACCGCAAGGUUGAAACUCAAAGGAAUUGACGGGGACCCGCACAAGCGGUGGAGCAUGUGGUUUAAUUCGAAGCAACGCGAAGAACCUUACCAAGUCUUGACAUCCUUUGACCACUCUAGAGAUAGAGCUUUCCCUUCGGGGACAAAGUGACAGGUGGUGCAUGGUUGUCGUCAGCUCGUGUCGUGAGAUGUUGGGUUAAGUCCCGCAACGAGCGCAACCCUUAUUACUAGUUGCCAGCAUUAAGUUGGGCACUCUAGUGAGACUGCCGGUGACAAACCGGAGGAAGGUGGGGAUGACGUCAAAUCAUCAUGCCCCUUAUGACUUGGGCUACACACGUGCUACAAUGGAUGGUACAACGAGCAGCGAACUCGCGAGGGUAAGCGAAUCUCUUAAAGCCAUUCUCAGUUCGGAUUGUAGGCUGCAACUCGCCUACAUGAAGCCGGAAUCGCUAGUAAUCGCGGAUCAGCCAUGCUACGGUGAAUACGUUCCCGGGUCU
rnacentral:rRNA from 1 species